rnacentral:rRNA from 1 species
ACCCCNCAGUCUUUUGGGUAUGAAACCCAUUUGGGCGAGAGUAGUACUAGGAUGGGUGACCUCCUGGGAAGUCCUCGUGAAAGGGUUU